rnacentral:rRNA from 1 species
AAUAGAUACCCUGGUAGUCCACGCCGUAAACGAUGAGUGCUAGGUGUCGGAGGGGUCCACCCUGCGGUGCCGAAGUUAACACAUUAAGCACUCCGCCUGGGGAGUACGGUCGCAAGACUGAAACUCAAAGGAAUUGACGGGGACCCGCACAAGCAGUGGAGUAUGUGGUUUAAUUCGAAGCAACGCGAAGAACCUUACCAGGUCUUGACAUCCCUCUAACCGGUCUAGAGAUAGGCCUUUCCUUCGGGACAGAGGAGACAGGUGGUGCAUGGUUGUCGUCAGCUCGUGUCGUGAGAUGUUGGGUUAAGUCCCGCAACGAGCGCAACCCUUGACUUUAGUUGCCAGCACUUCGGGUGGGCACUCUAGAGUGACUGCCGGUGACAAACCGGGAGGAAGGCGGGGAUGACGUCAAAUCAUCAUGCCCCUUAUGACCUGGGCUACACACGUACUACAAUGGCCGGUACAACGGGCAGCGAAGGAGCGAUCGUGGAGCCAAUCCUAUCAAAGCCGGUCUCAGUUCGGAUUGCAGGCUGCAACUCG